UGAGGUGGCAGCGGCGGGUGGCGGGAGGGCGGAGUGCCACCGACCUGCGGCGAACGAGUACGUGAUAUCGGCGCUCGUGCCCCACAACAAACUGCUUACUGGACGUGUUACGUAGGCGUCUGAGCUGCGAUGUACCAACAUAAACACAGAUAGGGGGAUCAGUGAAGCACGGGCGACCGGGGCAGGCGGCGCAGUGGGUCAGGCGAGGCAGUACGGGCGGACCUUGCAAUGUCGCGGCGUGACGCUCAGCUGACGGGCCGCCGCCGCCGCCGUCGCGCCGCGCCACGCCGCCCCGUUCAUUGCCUCCGCGGCGGCUGGCGCGAGCGGACGUCUAAUAUGCUACAUCAUGUGAUUUCAUAAUUUUCAUGUUAACGAAAAUCUUUGAAACAACAACAAAUGGAGCGGAUCGUAGUUAAUUGUGUUAAUAUUGUGAAAACUUAGGAGGAAAUGAUGUGUGUGCGACGUGCGUAGAUAAAAUUAGUUAUGCUGGAGUGCGGUGACGACCGGUGCGAAAGGUCGGGCUGUGUAAAAAUAACUGCGGAACCGGGCGGCAAAGCGGUGGAAUGAGGUUUGACGGCACAUUGUAGCUGAGGCGGGGCGAGGCCGUGUGCGCCAUGUUAUAAUUUCCCUUCGCGUCGAAUGUGCAAACCGACUGACUGAACACUGCGGUGUGCCUACUUCUCUUUCUCUCAGUGCGGAAUAAGCAUGCCUGCUGUGUGAGAGACAAGUCGUCCACCUCUACAGCCAACGUGUACGUCUAACAAACUAUGUACCUACCUAUAAUAUAACAUGUAGCAGGUACUUCUCUACGAAGUGCUUCUGCAUUUUAGUGCAAUGCUGAUUUCUUGGGCCGCUCUCAUGCCAACAACAGAGCAACAAGCCAAUGUUUUAAAUAAUUACUACUACAUUUACAAAUAUUAAUAUAACGAAUACACUUACUUAUAAAUACA